UACGUAGGGUGCAAGCGUUGUCCGGAAUUACUGGGCGUAAAGCGUGUGUAGGCGGCCGCGCAAGUCGGAUGUGAAAGCCCCGGGCUCAACCCGGGAAGUGCACCCGAUACUGCAUGGCUCGAGUACUGGAGAGGUUGGUGGAAUUCUCGGUGUAGAGGUGAAAUUCGUAGAUAUCGAGAGGAACACCGGUGGCGAAGGCGGCCAACUGGACAGAUACUGACGCUGAGACACGAAAGCGUGGGGAGCAAACAGG
rnacentral:rRNA from 1 species